rnacentral:lncRNA from 8 species
AUGUAUGAACAAUGUAUUGUUACAUAUUGUCCACCAGACGGCCCAAAGAACACCUCAUUGUCAGUCAGUCCCUCUGGUGAAAUAGUGGAGGGCAGUUCAGUGACUCUGACCUGCAGCAGUGAUGCCAACCCACCUGUGGACAAAUACACCUGGUACAAGAAGAACGUAACCUCACCAAAAGCAUCAGGACAGAGUUACAGCAUCACUAACAUCGGCUCUGAGGACAGAGGAGAAUACUACUGUGAGGCCCAGAAUGGAAAAGGAUCUAUGAACUCUACAGCUCUGAUGAUCAUUGUAGCAGGGAAAUAAACCUCAGUUAUGAAUGCAGCUGUAGGAAUCAUAGUGGUUGUUCUGAUUCUCAUCCUCUGUCUCUCUGGACUCAUGUGGUUCAGGUGAGUGAAGUGAAAAUGCAUUUUUUGUUUUAUUAUUUAACUUUAGUAACAUUGAUUGAUUGAUUCAUUCAUGUGCAAAACAGGAAAAAAGCCUCCAAAUCCACCUCCAACACAAGAGACGCAGCAGAUGAUGGACAGGUAUGACAAUGUCUCAAGCAUGGCCAUGACCCCUACUGCAGCACAAACAGUGGACACAGACAACCAGGAUUAUGUUCACUAUGACAGCGUCCACUUCUCUGGCUCCAAAAACCAGGAAGUGCCUCUAUACUCCACCAUCCAGCUGCCUCAGCCCCAGAUUCAGGAGGAGGAUGUCCAGUACGCUGCUGUGAAAUUCAGCUGCCCCAGUGCUGCCACCCAGUGAGCGUAUUCUGCCAUUACAACAACAGUGUCAAUACUAGAACAUUGAACACACAGACAGCAUCAGGGUCAUUCAUAUGCUGCUGCUUAUUGGAAGAGUAGACAAUGUCAUCAAUAAGCAAAACGGUUGACCCCCUAGUGACAACUCAUUGUUCCCUGAAAAGUCCCUCCAUCAAUAGGUGAAGCACAGGAGGAUGGUGCUUCAUUGGGGAGGAUGGGCUUGUGGUAAUGGCUGGAGCGGAAUAGUAUAAAAUACAAACAUAUGUUUUCAUUCCAUUUGCGCCGUUCCGGCCAUUAUUAUGACCCGUUCUCACCUCAGCAACCUCCUGUGAUCUAAAGAGUUGUAGGACCAUCCUUCAGGCCAAAGUGCAUUUCCUUGAACUCAUAAUAUGGUGUAACAAGGGACAUUUUGAAAAGUUGCACUCAGGGUUGGGGUCAAUUCCAUUUCAAUUUAGGACAUUUCCAGUUGUUCCUCAUUGAAAAGCAUUGAGAAAAGAUGGAAUUUCAGUUUAGUUCCUGAAUUGAAAUGGUAUUGACCCCUAGCCUGGUUGCAGUUUCAAGAAGACCUUGUAUACCUGGACCUGUAUUUUAAAAAUAAGUGAUAUAAUGAUAUAUUACAAUACAAUAAUGUAUGCCAUUUAGCAGAUUUGUUUCCCUAAUGGUUGGUUUGGGCCAAUUUCUAGUCAUGUCUUUAGACUAAAGUGUAGCAAAAACAAUUCUGCACAAGACUAUAGAGCUACACUGUUACUGGAGGAAUGACAUUAACUUGGCGUUGAUAUUGAAACUGUAAAG